GUUUGAAUCCUUACUUUGUCUCCAGCUGCUCGAGAGAUUCCUACAGAAGCGCCGUUGGAAUCAAACACCUGGAUUCCAUUAUCAGACUCUUCACUCCUGAUGGUAAACACGCUGAAGAAGCCCAGGGCAGCUGGGGAAGGAACCGGCACGAUCGACCUGAAGAAGAACAGCAAGGAUUGGCUCCCGAUGGCAAAUCUUUGGAUUAAAAUGAAUGGAAGUGCCUGAAUAAUGAAGAUUUUUAUUUCAUUUAUUGCAUUAUUCUUUUAAUAUGUGAAAUAUACAACAAAAGUACACCAUAUGUUAUGGGAUAUCACGUUGCAAUGGGGAAACAAUACAUGAAGUUUGAUUGACGAUCGAAAUGCAAUGUCCAUAGAAAACAACCAGUACAAACCCCUGCACAUGUUGUGUAGGAAACCGACCCUCCGAUCAAAAGAGCCUGUUUCAAAGACAUCUUCUUGGCCUGCCGGUGAGAGAUAAUGAAAGAAAAGGCAGAUAAUGCAAACAAACCCAAAGGAGAUUAGCUCAGCUGGCCUAUCUCCUGCAAUUCCUCAAAUAAUGCAACUGUCCAACGGGCUGGCUGACACUGGGGUCUAUCGCAUAGGGUUACACCCUUGUCAGACCUUGCAGAGGUCUCUACCGCCUACACAUGGUGUAGACCUGUUUUAAGCAUACAACUGUGUCUUUUGUUUGAAUAUGUUAAUAUUUUGGCAUAAAUCAGUAACAAAACUGUACCGUAGCUUAAAAAAAAAAAGAGCGAUUACCUUUUCCGAAGAAGAAUUUCUAUGGACAUGGUUAAAUCCA